UUGAACGCUGGCGGCAUGCCUUACACAUGCAAGUCGAACGGCAGCACGGGUGCUUGCACCUGGUGGCGAGUGGCGAACGGGUGAGUAAUACAUCGGAACAUGUCCUGUAGUGGGGGAUAGCCCGGCGAAAGCCGGAUUAAUACCGCAUACGAUCCACGGAUGAAAGCGGGGGACCUUCGGGCCUCGCGCUAUAGGGUUGGCCGAUGGCUGAUUAGCUAGUUGGUGGGUAAAGGCCUACCAAGGCGACGAUCAGUAGCUGGUCUGAGAGGACGACCAGCCACACUGGGACUGAGACACGGCCCAGACUCCUACGGGAGGCAGCAGUGGGGAAUUUUGGACAAUGGGCGAAAGCCUGAUCCAGCAAUGCCGCGUGUGUGAAGAAGGCCUUCGGGUUGUAAAGCACUUUUGUCCGGAAAGAAAUCCUUGACUCUAAUACAGUCGGGGGAUGACGGUACCGGAAGAAUAAGCACCGGCUAACUACGUG
rnacentral:rRNA from 1 species